GAUGAACGCUGGCGGCGUGCUUAACACAUGCAAGUCGAACGCUGAAGCUUGGUGCUUGCACUGGGUGGGUGAGUGGCGAACGGGUGAGUAAUAAGUGAGUAACCUGCCCUUGACUCUGGGAUAAGCCUGGGAAACUGGGUCUAAUACUGGAUACGACAUGUAACCGCAUGGUGGUGUGUGGAAAGGGUUUUACUGGUUUUGGAUGGGCUCACGGCCUAUCAGCUUGUUGGUGGGGUAAUGGCUCACCAAGGCGACGACGGGUAGCCGGCCUGAGAGGGUGACCGGCCACACUGGGACUGAGACACGGCCCAGACUCCUACGGGAGGCAGCAGUGGGGAAUAUUGCACAAUGGGCGGAAGCCUGAUGCAGCGACGCCGCGUGAGGGAUGACGGCCUUCGGGUUGUAAACCUCUUUCAGCACGGAAGAAGCGAAAGUGACGGUACGUGCAGAAGAAGCGCCGGCUAACUACGUG
rnacentral:rRNA from 1 species